UACGUAGGGGGCAAGCGUUGUCCGGAUUUAUUGGGCGUAAAGAGCGUGUAGGCGGCCAAACAGGUCAGCUGUGAAAACUCGAGGCUCAACCUCGAGACGUCGGUUGAAACCGUUUGGCUAGAGUCCGGAAGAGGAGAGUGGAAUUCCUGGUGUAGCGGUGAAAUGCGCAGAUAUCAGGAGGAACACCGGUGGCGAAGGCGGAUCUCUGGGCCUUACCUGACGCUCAGGUGCGAAAGCUAGGGGAGCGAACAGG
rnacentral:rRNA from 1 species